rnacentral:lncRNA from 1 species
UCAUGGUUUGUGGAAGCCCUAAAUGAUUAGCAAACACUAAUCAUUAAGGGAGAAUUGAAAUGUGGUUUCAAUUCACAAUCGAUCGUUAAGAGUAACAAUCGCCCACUACCUCGCUAAUUGGAACCUAAUGGAUCGUACACCGAGUAAGGAUGUAUGUGAGGAAAUUAAAUGAAAUGGAUAAGCAAUUAAAUGGUUUAAUUGAUGAAUGGUCAAGAUUAAUUAAUUAGUUAAUUAAUUUUACGAAAGGUUCGUAUUGGGCUUUUAAGUUUGUUUUGGGCUUCGGGUCUCAAAAGCGUUUUGGUCCACAAGGCCCAUUAUGUUUAAGUUGUAUGACAACUAAAACAAAAUGGGCAAUUAGCCCAAUAACAUUAAUAUGGCCGGCCAUUAGGGUGAAUGGGCAAGCUUGGAUUAAUUACAAGUUUGCCACUCACUUGAAAUGAAGUAUAAAAGGAACUUUAUAGCUUUAUUUCUCAUUAGGGUUUUCUUAAAGAAAUUGGGUGAAACACUUUCUCUCAUUUUUCUCUAAAGAGGCCGGCCACUUAAGGGAGGGACAUCUAGCAAUCUCUUCUUCCCUAAGUCAUCCAUAUUAUCUUCACAAGAUACAUCCUUGGUGUGGAGAGUUAGAGACAUCAAAUUUUUGGUGUUUUGGAGAACAAAUCCUAAAAUCCUCAAAGAAGCAAAGGAGCACUAAAAGGAGGAAAAUCACAAGGAAUAUCCAAGGAGCUUGGAGGUGACU